GAUGAAGAACGUAGCGAAAUGCGAUAAGUAAUGUGAAUUGCAGAAUUCAGUGAAUCAUCGAAUCUUUGAACGCACAUUGCGCCCCUUGGUAUUCCGAGGGGCAUGCCUGUUCGAGCGUCAUUAUAACCCCUCAAGCUCAGCUUGGUGUUGGGGCCUGCUGCACUGGCAGCCCUUAAAAUCAGUGGCGGCGCCAUCUGGCUCUAGGCGUAGUAAUUCUUCUCGCUAUGGAGUCCUGGUGGAUGCUUGCCAUCAACCCCCAAUUUUUCUAUGGUUGACCUCGGAUCAGGUAGGGAUACCCGCUGAACUUAAGCAUAUCAAUAAGCGGAGGA
rnacentral:misc_RNA from 1 species